UCAGAGUAAGAAAUGAGAACCAGAAUCUUCGUUUCCCCUCAAAGUCGAACGACCCACUCGCAUAACUCCUUUCUGGGACAGUCACCCGCCGCUCGACAUAAGGAGGGAAGGCCCGGGAGCGCUCAACUCGCGUCUGAGUCUGUCGGCGGAGGCUGGCUGUUUGGUCCAUAGGGACGCAGGGCACCGCCCUCGGGACCGGCCAGGGGCCGGAGCAAGCCCGCCCUGAUGCUGCGGGGGCCACGCGGGAGAGACUUUUGACACGAGAUACUGUUUCGUUUUCAAAGAAGGAGAGUAUUUAUCCGGAAUUUGCGUUCCUAUGGUGGUGCAGGGCCCUCUACUGUAAGUUCCUGACACAGAGUUCCUGAAAUCCGCGUAAUUUCCUGGAUCAUAGAGACCCUUGAAGCCUAUCUAUGAAUCCCAAGUUAAGUACUUCUGCUUUUAGAGAAGAGAAAUGCAACAACCCGAGGAUGACACUUUUAAAGGUACUGAUUUUUAAGUGUGUAAAUAAUUUCUUUAUAUGAGGUACCUGGUGGUUGGAAAGUUGUUAAUAAUAGAAAAAUAACUUUUGGCAGUUCUUAAUAACAUGCAAUCCGAUGGUAUAGAUAUGAUUUUAAUUGAAAGCAAAGCCAUGGAAUGACUUAAUCUGUAUCUGGUGAGAGAAGAACUUUUGAUCAUAGAGUUUCUAAGCAAUAUCAUUCUGGUAUAUAAUUAAUUCUCAAAAAGGGCUGGUUUUGGAGGCAAAUGAGAGGCCUGAUAGUGGCCGACCUGGUAAUUGACAUCAGCUAAAAGCAAAAACCCUAAGCAACACAUUAUAAAAUUGAAUAAUAAAAAAAGUUGGGAAUAAUAACGCUGCCAUUUAGCAUUAAUUGAUGUGUAAAAGCACUCAGAGUUCCCAGGAGAAGAGAAUUAUUUAAAUGCUGAUUUUUAUUAUUACUACUACUUAAGUUAUUGUAAUAAAUUUAUGAAAAUAAGAUACUGUGCUAGUUUAAUGCAUAUAUAAACCCUAAUAGAAUAUUUAUGAGCCAUAUACCAGCAGUUUUAUCUGUAGGCAUUAAAAAAAUAGUAAACAAGAUGGAACAUUUCUUUAGUCUAAGAUUAAGUAUAUUAAGGACAAUUUAGAACCACACAAAACGAUUAUGAUAUUGGAUUUGAAAACUACAGAGACCUUCAUAGUCUUUCACAGGAGAAAAAAGGUUGAGUUUUGAAAAGAUAUGGGUUUUAUAGUCAUCAAGUCUCUUUGUAGAGUGUUGGAAGAAUAGAAUACCUUGGGUACGAAUUUUCCAAUGGGACACCAUUUUGGUUUAUAUGCCAUACGCAAAACUAUUUUUAUGCAGUUUUACUGCCCAGUGUAGGGAUUUCUUCAUAUUUUUUACAUCAACUAUACCACUUUAAGUUAUUUGAAAAGAAGUGUAAUGAAUAUAUUAUAAGCUCAGAAAAUGGCAUCUAAAAGCAACAGAGAGUUCCAAUGCAAGUCAAGAAAUCUUGCAGAUGAUUUCAUAUGACUGUUUAAUGGAUAAAUAAAACUUCUAAUACCAAGAAAAUUGUAGUUGAAUAGAAAAAAGUCUAGUGGAAAAUAUUACUCUUAACGACCAUUAUAAGAUGCUAUAUGAUGAAACCAUUAAAAUGCCUUGGCAUUUCCUACUUACUUUAUUAAUGAUUUAAUUUGUUGGCAAGUGUU